rnacentral:rRNA from 1 species
CGGAUUGGAGUCUGCAACCCGACUCCAUGAAGCUGGAUUCGCUAGUAAUCGCGCAUCAGCCAUGGCGCGGUGAAUACGUUCCCGGGCCUUGUACACACCGCCCGUCAAGCCAUGAAAGCCGGGGGUACCUGAAGUACGUAACCGCAAGGAUCGUCCUAGGGUAAAACUGGUAAUUGGGGCUAAGUCGUAACAAGGUAGC